rnacentral:rRNA from 1 species
GAAGACUUUGCCGGAUUAGCUGAGAGGUGGUGCAUGGCCGUCGUCAGUUCGUACUGUGAAGCAUCCUGUUAAGUCAGGCAACGAGCGAGACCCACGCCCAACAGUUGCCAGCAUGUCCUCCGGGAUGAUGGGACACUGUUGGGACCGCCUCUGCUAAAGAGGAGGAAGGAAGUGGGCAACGGUAGGUCAGCAUGCCCCCGAAUUAUCCGGGCUACACGCGGGCUACAAUGGUCAGGACAAUGGGUAUCGACACCGAGAGGUGGAGGCAAUCUCCUAAACCUGUCCUUGGUUCGGAUUGUGGCUGCAACUCGCCCACAUGAAGCUGGAAUCUGUAGUAAUCGUGUCUCAAAAUGGCACGGUGAAUAUGUCCCUGCCUCCUU